rnacentral:misc_RNA from 1 species
UCCCUGUUACCAGGGCAGUCUAGCUAGAAAAAUACAACUAACUAUAAGGGUUGCGCUCGUUGAAGGACUUAACCUAACAUCUCACGACACGAGCUGACGACGGCCAUGCAACACCUGUCACCGAAUUCCUUACGGCACAAUUUCCUUUCGGAAACCUUCUCGGGAUGUCAAACCUGGGUAAGGUUCUUCGCUUACCAUCGAAUUAAAGAACACGAUCCACCGCUUGUGCGGGUCCCCGUCAAUUCCUUUAUGUUUUAGUCUUGCGACCGUACUCCACAGGCGGGAUACUUAACGCGUUAGCUGCGCCACCGGAACGCUAAGCGCCCCGACAGCUAGUAUC